rnacentral:rRNA from 1 species
AAAAUGCACAGGCUGUGAACUCGAAGAGUAGGGCGGGACACGUGGUAUCCUGUCUGAAUAUGGGGGGACCAUCCUCCAAGGCUAAAUACUCCUGACUGACCGAUAGUGAACCAGUACCGUGAGGGAAAGGCGAAAAGAACCCCGGCGAGGGGAGUGAAAAAGAACCUGAAACCGUGUACGUACAAGCAGUGGGAGCACCUUCGGGUGUGACUGCGUACCUUUUGUAUAAUGGGUCAGCGACUUAUAUUCUGUAGCAAGGUUAACCGUAUAGGGGAGCCGCAGGGAAACCGAGUCUUAACUGGGCGUUAAGUUGCAGGGUAUAGACCCGAAACCCGGUGAUCUAGCCAUGGGCAGGUUGAAGGUUGGGUAACACUAACUGGAGGACCGAACCGACUAAUGUUGAAAAAUUAGCGGAUGACUUGUGGCUGGGGGUGAAAGGCCAAUCAAACCGGGAGAUAGCUGGUUCUCCCCGAAAGCU